GACGAACGCUGGCGGCGUGCUUAACACAUGCAAGUCGAACGGAAAGGCCUCUUUCGGGGGGUACUCGAGUGGCGAACGGGUGAGUAACACGUGAGUAACCUGCCCUUGACUUUGGGAUAACUUCAGGAAACUGGGGCUAAUACCGGAUAGGAGCUCCUGCUGCAUGGUGGGGGUUGGAAAGUUUCGGCGGUUGGGGAUGGACUCGCGGCUUAUCAGCUUGUUGGUGGGGUAGUGGCUUACCAAGGCUUUGACGGGUAGCCGGCCUGAGAGGUUGACCGGCCACAUUGGGACUGAGAUACGGCCCAGACUCCUACGGGAGGCAGCAGUGGGGAAUAUUGCACAAGGGGUGGAAGCCUGAUGCAGCAACGCCGUGUGCGGGAUGACGGCCUUCGGGUUGUAAACCGCUUUCGCUCAUGACGAAGCUUUGUGUGACGGUAGUGGGUAAAGAAGCACCGGCUAACUACGUG
rnacentral:rRNA from 1 species